GUGGAGGGUAAAAGGCCUACCAAGGCGAACGAUCCGUAGCGGGUCUGAGAGGAUGAUCCGCCACACUGGGACUGAGACACGGCCCAGACUCCUACGGGAGGCAACAGAUGGGGAAUAAUUGGACAAAGGGGGGAACCCUUGAGUCCAGCCAUUGUCGGCGUGUUUUGAAGAAGGCCUUUUCGGUUGUGAAAGCACUUUAUAGCGACGGAGGAGGACGUACUCUAGUUAAUACCUAGAGAUAGUGGACGUUACUCGCAGAAUAAGCACCGGCUAACUCUGUGCCAGCAGCCGCGGUAAUACAGAGGGUGCGAGCGUUAAUCGGAUUUACUGGGCGUAAAGCGUGCGUAGGUGGCCAAUUAAGUCAAAUGUGAAAUCCCCGAGCUUCAACUCUGGGAAUUGCAUUCGAUACUGGUUGGCUAGAGUAUGGGAGAGGAUGGUAGAAUUUCCAGGUGUAGCGGUGAAAUGCGUAGAGAUCUGGAGGAAUCACCGAUGGCGAAGGCAGCCAUUCUGGCCUAAUACUGACACUGAGGUACGAAAGCAUGGGGAGCAAACAGGAUUAGAUACCCUGGUAGUCCACUGCCGUAAACGAUGUCUACUAGCCGUUGGGGUCUUUGAGACUUUUAGUGGCGCAGCUAACGCGAUAAGUAGACCGCCUGGGGAGUACGGUCGCAAGACUAAAACUCAAAUGAAUUGACGGGGGCCCGCACAAGCGGUGGAGCAUGUGGUUUAAUUCGAUGCAACGCGAAGAACCUUACCUGGUCUUGACAUACGUAAGAACUUUCCAGAGAUGGAUUGGUGCCUUCGGGAGCUUACAUACAGGUGCUGCAUGGCUGUCGUCAGCUCGUGUCGUGAGAUGUUGGGUUAAGUCCCGCAACGAGCGCAACCCUUUUCCUUAUUUUGCCAGCGGGUUAUAGCCGGGAACUUUAAGGAUACUGCCAGUGACAAACUGGGGGGAAGGCGGGGACGACGUCAAGUCAUCAUGGCCCUUACGACCAGGGCUACACACGUGCUACAAUGGUCGGUACAAAGGGUUGCUCACCUCAGCGAGAGGAGCUAAUCUCAAGAAAGCCGAUCGUAGUCCGGAUUGGAGUCUGCAACUCGACUCAUGAAGUCGGAAUCGCUAGUAAUCGCGGAUCAGAAUGCCGCGGUGAAUACGUUCCCGGGCCUUGUACACACCGCCCGUCACACCAUGGGAG
rnacentral:rRNA from 1 species